CUAGCCUUUUUUUCGCUGUUGCUCGCAAAAUCUCUCGAUCUAUCUCUGUCUGAAAUGGCGGCUGAGUCCAUGCCAAAGGGAGAUGAGAACUCACCAACAAUGGAAGUACCACUUGUAGAGGAGCAAGAUGGUUCCCAGCUCUCCAAAUCUCUUCACCGUUUAGAGACCUUUCUAAGGCUCUUUGGCUAUUGUCAAUACUCCUUUUUAAGCUUCGUAAUCUCUUGGCUUUCUUUUCUGCUUCUGGGUAUUGUUCUUCCGGUCUUUAUGAUCAAAUUAUCUGCUUCUUCGAAAGCUGAGAAGUACCAGAUCAAUAGCUUCGAGUUUCAGAUUUUGGUGUUUCAAUCUCUGGCUGCAGCAAUUCCUCACCCCAUAUUUUCUCAAAUUGAUUUGAGAAAAUAUGGGGUGAGGAAUUUUCUGUUUGUCGAUAGGUCCCAUGGCCAUAUGGCUGAGUUCCGUGACGAAUAUGUAAAGAAGAUACAUGAUUUCUUCUUUUUGGUGGCAGUGUGGGUAUUGCCAUGUCUGCUUCUGAAGAUUGUUCUUGAGAUCGUUCGAGAUAUGCAUGUGCAUCGUGAUCCUUGGUGGCAAACUGUUGCAAUUUCGAUUGCUCACAUCAUCUCUUGGACUUAUUCAACUAUUAUCUUUUUAUCUGGCUGUGCUUUAUUCAAUCUAUUGUGCAAUUUGCAAGUGAUACACUUCGAAAAUUAUGGGAAGCUUUUGGAAAGGGAUAUGGAUGUUUUGGUAUACAUUGAGGAACAUAUUCGCCUAACACAUUACCUGUCUAAAAUAAGCCACAGGUUCCGAAUAUUUUUCAUUCUUGAGAUAUUGGUUGUAACUGCCUGUCAGGCUGUGGCUUUAUUUCAAACCACAGGAAACAAAGAUAUAAUCACUCUCAUGAAUGGCGGUGAUUUUGUAAUUUCUUGCAUAGCUGAGCUUGUUGGGAUAAUUAUUACCCUGCAUGCAGCUGCAAAAACCACUCACAGAGCUCAAGGUGUCGCAUCAAUUGCUGCCAAAUGGCAUUCUUUGGUUACUAGCAACUCUAGAGAUGCAGCUAUAACCAGUAGCAGCGGAAAUCUGGAUCCUCCUAACAUGGCCAGCAUAUUGCAUUUAAAUUACUCAGAAAGUGAUCUGGAGGCAGUUGACUACGUGCCAGUGCCGACAAUUGCCCAAUUGACUUCAUCAUAUAACAAGAGACAAGCUUUUGUGUCGUAUUUGCAGUCCAACCCGGGUGGGUUUUCUGUUUUUGGAUGGAUGAUUGAACGGUCACUCAUCAACACUAUCUUCUUUCUUGAGAUUUCACUUGUUCUUUUUGUGCUCGGAAAGACCAUAACUUUCACUUCCAAAUAACAGAACUCAGCAACCCCCUUUUUGUAUUCGGACCGGGUGCAGAGCCGUCAAGUUAAUCUUAAAUUUUGAUUUUCACAGCACAUGUAUUAGUUAUAAAUUACUACGGCUAUGUUUCUUUUCGUAUGUCAUUUCAAACAUAAUACCAGCCGCUUCUUUCUUUCGAGUAUCCCGAAGCAAUGUUUCAGAUGUCACUUGAUUUCUGAAAAAGGGUAACCGCAAAAUGUCAAAUGUUUAUGCGCUGG
rnacentral:misc_RNA from 1 species